rnacentral:misc_RNA from 1 species
UUGUCAAAUAGCAAUCCUUUAAUUAUCUGCUUCAUGAAGCAAUAAUGCCUGAAGAACAUGUUUUCACAUUCUAGGCUUGUUUUACGAUCUUUGUUAGAAGCAUUAAAGCCUGCUCAUCGUGAAGUUUUUUAUUCAUACUUCGGGUGUAGAACUGAAUAGGAAAAUAUUUGGCUUCAUUUUUUCUAUGCAAAAGAAUUUUCAGAUGAAAGAGUUCUUUUGAAAUUUGUUUGCAUAUAAAAUAUUUGGUUUAUGCUGGGUUCAUUACUUUUUCCUCAUAUUUUUUGAUUUUGUAAGAUUCUAAUUUGUUCUUUCAUAUGUUGAGCUGUAGGUUGUGAUCUGUACCAUG